rnacentral:lncRNA from 1 species
AUGUCUCAGCUCCUGCCUUUGUGGCAGCUUUCCUGGGGGCUCUCUGCAUGUUCUGAUGUUUCAUCCUUCAGCCUGGUGUGUGUUUUGGAUAAACAGAGCGGGGUGUUGCUGACUGCGGGCAUCAUGUCAAAGAUGAUUCAGGCUCCAAGAAUAUUCUGUAUGUGCAACCAGCAAUGCUCUGAUGAAAUAAAGUUGUCUCAGAAGAGACAGAAAAGCCUCGGUGCUCUUGCAGAGGUGCUUCUACAUGUGCUGCCAUUCCCACGCCGUGCUGCCUGCUCACAUCCCAGCGGCUGACCUGGCGGGUUGCAACAGAUCCUGAACUUCGACAUGCUUGGCUCAUCAGCAGCCGUCCACGGACAAGCUGAGGGGCCAGAUGGCCAGGCUAGACUACGGGUGACUAUUGUGCAAGGAACGGAGCCAGCAGUAUGAAAAGCAGUGGUCUUGGCAAAACAGUUCUUCAAUUGUUGUUGUCCCAUAAAAACAAGGUAUCACAGCAGAGGAAUGUUUUAAGAUUAUAUUUGAAGGCUAAUGAAGAAAUGACUUUACAGAUUUUGGCUCUGACUUUCUUCCCUUACCCUUCCCUUGCAAGGGAAUUUGGCAAGUGUCAAAGGUCUCCUUGGAUUCUUCAGGCAGUGGAAAGGCUUUACAUAUCCCCAGGCUUGACUGUCUCUGCUGAUAGCUCCCAUAUGAUAUAAACUGAUUAGCAAAAUGUCUAGAGUCAGGACAAAAGAACUAUUAGCUAAGAAAAAAGAAAAGAACAAGGAAUUUCUCCAAUUUUAGAAAAUUGUUACCAGUUGUACUUACCAUCCAGUUUGUUCCUCUGCAGUAGGGAUGUCAGGAUGCAAUCAGCCGGUCUUUCUAGGCACGAAUCCUCCAGGACUUCAGGUCUGAAUACUUCCAGGGUUGAUCUCGUGGUGUUUUUCUGUUUGUUUGGUGGUGGUAGUUUUGAUUUAUUUUUUUUUCACUGUUGUUACGAUUGUUUCAUACCAUGCCUAGAAGCACAGCAGGUAUUUAGCAUCAAGGCUUUCUGCAGCCACAGUUUGCUGCCGUGAGAUGAAACCCAUCAGAGCCUGGGAGUCUGGUGCAGUGGUUAUAAUUUUGGUUGGGGUUUUCUUAGAUCGGGCUAUAGGCUUGGGACCCAAGCUGAAGUUGUAGUGCACACUUUUAUAAGUGUGGACCUAAUUUUCUUGCUGUUUUUAAGGGUUACCAUCAGGGGGAAAAAAAUGUGCUUUUAAGAUACAGUAUUGUGAUCAGGCUGGAUAAAGCAGGCAGCUGCAGACCGGAUCUGGACCUCUGCAGUACCUCAGAGGUUCUCAAGUUGGCUCCUGGUUUUGGUCCAAGUUUGUGCCUAGUGCUUUGUAAAACUGGAUUCUUCUCUGAACGGCUGUGCUCUCCUACACAGGAUGGUGAGUGCAUGCUUGCACACAUCUGUGCUGUUACACGUCUGCUCACACAUGCACGCAGCAGCUGGGUAACAGCACGCAGGUCCUGCAGGGUUUACUUGCACAGAUAGAUUCGCCUUCCCCGCUCUCCCCCUCCCGCUGUCUUCCCUGAGCCCCCCAGUGUGAAUUAAUGUCAGCAGUUUGGCGGCAGGAAAUAGACUCACUCCCCUUGUCAUUUUAUUACGCAGCUCCCAAGAGCCAAUAAUCAGGCUCUGGCUGUGAAAAGGCCCCGGCUUAGGCAGCUUGAUUAAUGACUGGGGGUCACUGCGCACCACCUUUCCCACUGGAUCUCUGAAGCACACAUACAGCCCAGCUGGAAAUGAACAAGAGUCUGAAAGUGAGGAAUAAAGAGUCUGAACAAUCAGGAACCGAAAACA